GACGAACGCUGGCGGCGUGCUUAACACAUGCAAGUCGAACGGAAAGGCCCUGCUUUUUUGGUGUGCUCGAGUGGCGAACGGGUGAGUAACACGUGAGUAACCUGCCCUUGUCUUUGGUAUAACUUCAGGAAACUGGGGCUAAUCCCGUAUAGCAGCUCCUGCUCCGUUGUGAGGAUUGGAACGUUUCGGCGGUUGGGGAUGGACUCGCGGCUUAUCAGCUUGUUGGUGGGGUAGUGGCUGACCAAGGCUUUGACGGGUAGCCGGCCUGAGAGGGUGACCGGCCACAAUGGGACUGAGAUACGGCCCAGACGCCUACGGGAGGCAGCAGUGGGGAAUAUGGCACAAUGGGCGGAAGCCUGAUGCAGAAACGCCGCGUGCGGGAUGACGGCCUUCGGGGUGUAAACCGCUUUCGCCUGUGACGAAGCGGGAGUGACGGUAAUGGGUAAAGAAGCACCGGCUAACUACGUG
rnacentral:rRNA from 1 species